GAUCAUGGCUCAGGAUGAACGCUGGCGGCGUGCCUAACACAUGCAAGUCGAACGGACUUUAAAUUGAAUGAGACUUCGGUUGAAGGAUUUUAAAGUUAGUGGCGGACGGGUGAGUAACGCGUGGAGAACCUGCCCUGUACAGGGGGAUAACAACCAGAAAUGGCUGCUAAAACCGCAUAAGCGCACAGUACCGCAUGGUACAGUGUGAAAAAACUCCGGUGGUACAGGAUGGCUCCGCGUUGGAUUAGCCAGUUGGCGGGGUAACGGCCCACCAAAGCGACGAUCCAUAGCCGGCCUGAGAGGGUGGACGGCCACAUUGGGACUGAGACACGGCCCAGACUCCUACGGGAGGCAGCAGUGGGGAAUAUUGCACAAUGGGGGAAACCCUGAUGCAAGCGACGCCGCGUGAAGGAAGAAGUAUCUCGGUAUGUAAACUUCUAUCAGCAGGGAAGAAAAUGACGGUACCUGAAUAAGAAGCCCCGGCUAACUACGUGCCAGCAGCUGC
rnacentral:rRNA from 1 species